rnacentral:rRNA from 1 species
GACGUAGGGCGCGAGCGUUGUCCGGAUUUAUUGGGCGUAAAGAGCUCGUAGGCGGUUUGUCGCGUCGUUCGUGAAAACUCACAGCUUAACUGUGAGCUUGCGGUCGAUACGGGCAGGCUAGAGUUCGGUAGGGGAGACUGGAAUUCCUGGUGUAGCGGUGAAAUGCGCAGAUAUCAGGAGGAACACCGGUGGCGAAGGCGGGUCUCUGGGCCUGUACUGACGCUGAGGAGCGAAAGCGUGGGGAGCGAACAGG